rnacentral:tRNA from 1 species
AGUUUUAUAUUUCUAUAUAAUAAGAUUUUAAAUUGCAAAUUUAAUGAAGUAAAUUUUUACUAAAACUU